UUUAGAGUUUGAUCCAUGGCUCAGAACGAACGUUGGCGGCGCGCCUAAUACAUGCAAGUCGAGCGAGAAAGCCGGGGCAACUCGGCGAGUACAGCGGCGGAAGGGUGCGUAAUACAUGGAUAACGUACCCCCCAGUCGGGGAUAACCCUCCGAAAGGUGGGCUAAUACCGAGCAUACCGGCGAGGGGCGGCAUCGCCUCUCGCUGAAAGACGCAAGUCGCUGGGGGAGCGGUCCAUGGCCUAUCAGCUAGUUGGUGAGGUAACGGCCCACCAAGGCUGUGACGGGUAGCCGGCGUGAGAGGGUGGUCGGCCACAUUGGGACUGAGACACUGCCCAGACUCCUACGGGAGGCUGCAGUCGAGGAUCUUUCGCAAUGCCCGAAAGGGUGACGAAGCGACGCCGCGUGGGGGAAGAAGGCCUUCGGGUUGUAAACCCCUGUCAGGAG
rnacentral:rRNA from 1 species